AGCAGUGUAACAUAGUGGUAAGGAGCAGGGCUCAUAACCAUUAGGUUUCUGGUUUGAUUCCCCCGGGCCGCUGCUG